rnacentral:misc_RNA from 1 species
UGAUGAUGAUGAUGAUGAUGAAGGUGAUAGGCCUGACGAUGAUAAAAAGAAAACAGUCUCUCAAUAAUGAUUGCACCAGACAAUGGCUAUGAUUGCCAAGUAGAGGGAGAGGAGUAUUUUCCAAUCCUUUUCAUUUUAUCACAAGAACCCAACAUUUUUAUCUUACAAGAAUUUUUAUAUCCAACAGUUGACAUGUACAAAAGGAUAAUACUGUUUAUUGAAGGAUGAUCCAAGCAAAGCACAUCAGAUGCAUGAAUCAAUCAAUAAGCUUUUACUGUUGCACAGAGCUAGAGAAAUGAUUUUUUUUUCUUUGGUCAAUACAUGUUCUUGAUUGAUGAUUAAUGUAAGGAGUGGAAGGAAAUGUUGUUGAGAAAUCAAUGAUUGGUAGGAUUUUGUGGUGGAAAACGCUUGCUCUCAAUUGUCAUCA